rnacentral:rRNA from 1 species
AUACGUAGGACCCAAGCGUUAUCCGGAUUCACUGGGUGUAAAGGGUGUGUAGGCGGGCGUGCGCGUCCGGGGUGAAAGGUUCCGGCUCAACCGGAAACAUGCCUUGGAUACGGCACGUCUUGAGUGCGGGAGAGGACGGUGGAAUUCCUGGUGUAGCGGUGAAAUGCGUAGAUAUCAGGAGGAACACCAGUGGCGAAGGCGGCCGUCUGGCCCGCAACUGACGCCGAAACACGAAAGCGUGGGGAUCAAACAGGAUUAGAUACCCUGGUAGUCCACGCCCUAAACGAUGCAUGCUUGGUGUCGGCGCCUUGUGCGUCGGUGCCGUAGGUAACCCAGUAAGCAUGCCACCUGGGAAGUACGGUCGCAAGGCUGAA